ACGGGAGGCAGCAGUGGGGAAUAUUGCACAAUGGGGGAAACCCUGAUGCAGCAACGCCGCGUGAAGGAAGACGGUUUUCGGAUUGUAAACUUCUUUUCUUAGUGAAGAAACAAAUGACGGUAACUAAGGAAUAAGCAUCGGCUAACUACGUGCCAGCAGCCGCGGUAAUACGUAGGAUGCAAGCGUUAUCCGGAUUUACUGGGUGUAAAGGGAGCGCAGGCGGGACUUCAAGUUGGAUGUGAAAUGCCAAGGCUUAACCAUGGCACUGCAUCCAAAACUGUAGUUCUUGAGUGGAGUAGAGGUAAGCGGAAUUCCGAGUGUAGCGGUGAAAUGCGUAGAUAUUCGGAGGAACACCAGUGGCGAAGGCGGCUUACUGGGCUCUAACUGACGCUGAGGCUCGAAAGUGUGGGGAGCAAACAGGAUUAGAUACCCUGGUA
rnacentral:rRNA from 1 species